rnacentral:rRNA from 1 species
AUUGAACGCUGGCGGCAUGCCUUACACAUGCAAGUCGAACGUGAAAGGGGGGCAACCCCCGAGUAGAGUGGCGGACGGGUGAGUAAUACAUCGGAACGUGCCCAGUAGUGGGGGACAACCUCGAGAAAUCGAGGCUAUACCGCAUACGACCUACGGGUGAAAGCGGGGGACCGCAAGGCCGCGCGCCAUUGGAGCGGCCGAUGUCCGAUUAGCUAGUUGGUAGGGGAAAAGCCUACCAAGGCAACGAUCGGUAGCUGGUCUGAGAGGACGACCAGCCACACUGGGACUGAGACACGGCCCAGACUCCUACGGGAGGCAGCAGUGGGGAAUUUUGGACAAUGGGGGCAACCCUGAUCCAGCCAUGCCGCGUGCGGGAAGAAGGCCUUCGGGUUGUAAACCGCUUUCGGCCGGAACGAAAUCGCCGGGGAGAACAUCUCCGGUGGAUGACGGUACCGGAAGAAGAAGCACCGGCUAACUACGUGCCAGCCGCCGCGGUAAGAC